GACGAACGCUGGCGGCGUGCUUAACACAUGCAAGUCGAACGGAAAGGCCCUGCUUGCAGGGUACUCGAGUGGCGAACGGGUGAGUAACACGUGGGUGAUCUGCCUCGUACUUCGGGAUAAGCUUGGGAAACUGGGUCUAAUACCGGAUAUAACCUUCCUUUAGUGUGGGGGGUGGAAAGUUUUUCGGUACGAGAUGAGCCCGCGGCCUAUCAGCUUGUUGGUGGGGUAAUGGCCUACCAAGGCGUCGACGGGUAGCCGGCCUGAGAGGGUGGACGGCCACAUUGGGACUGAGAUACGGCCCAGACUCCUACGGGAGGCAGCAGUGGGGAAUAUUGCACAAUGGGCGCAAGCCUGAUGCAGCGACGCCGCGUGGGGGAUGACGGCCUUCGGGUUGUAAACCUCUUUCGCUAGGGACGAAGCCAUCCUUUGGGGGUGGUGACGGUACCUGGAUAAGAAGCACCGGCUAACUACGUGCCAGCAGCCGCGGUAAU
rnacentral:rRNA from 1 species